rnacentral:rRNA from 1 species
CCUACGGGUGGCAGCAGCGAGGGAUUUUCGGCAAUGGGCGCAAGCCUGACCGAGCAACGCCGCGUGCGGGACGACGCCCCUCGGGGUGUAAACCGCUUUUGGGCGGGACGAUGGUGACGGUACCGCCCGAAUCAGCCUCGGCUAACUACGUGCCAGCAGCCGCGGUAAGACGUAGGAGGCGAGCGUUGUCCGGAGUGACUGGGCGUAAAGCGCGCGCAGGCGGCCACGUUGGCCACUUCGUGAAAUCCCCCGGCUCAACCGGGUGGUAGCGGGUG